AUCUAGGUAGCGUAGUUGGUUAUCACGUUAGUCUCACACACUACAUGUCCCCGGUUCAAACUCGGGCUUAGACA
rnacentral:tRNA from 1 species